AUCGCCAAAGCCCAAGCCCAUCUGUGUGGUGAUGAACAGAAGACAGAAGUUAACCCUAGAUGGGACAGCAAUUCAUUGCAGGUCACACUAGAAAUCACACUGAGCUAAACAGAUGGUACUGUAUGUAGCUGACAGUUUCCUUUUAGCACUGCUCACAAUGGAAGAUCCAUCCUUUCCAAUCUGUUGAAGGACAAAGCCUAUCUCAGUUAACACCAGGCCCAAAGCAGAAUCCAGUCCAAUGAGGGGGUCCAGAGUACGUCCCAUAGCUCAUCCUGGCCAUCCUGGACAGCAGUCAAGAAGCAUCUUAUAGCUGGAGACACCAGAGGU